GACUCUCGGCAACGGAUAUCUCGGCUCUCGCAUCGAUGAAGAACGUAGCGAAAUGCGAUACUUGGUGUGAAUUGCAGAAUCCCGUGAACCAUCGAGUCUUUGAACGCAAGUUGCGCCCGAAGCCGUUACGCGAGGGCACGUCUGCCUGGGCGUCA
rnacentral:rRNA from 1 species